AUGAACGCUGGCGGUCUGCUUAACACAUGCAAGUCGAACGGGAGUAGCAAUACUCCAGUGGCGGACGGGUGAGUAACGCGUGAGAAUCUGCCUUUUGGUCGGGGACAACCACUGGAAACGGUGGCUAAUGCCGGAUGUGCCUGCGGGUAAAAGAUUAAUUGCCAGAAGAGGAGCUCGCGUCUGAUUAGCUAGUUGGUAGGGUAAAAGCCUACCAAGGCAUCGAUCAGUAGCUGGUCUGAGAGGACGAUCAGCCACACUGGGACUGAGACACGGCCCAGACUCCUACGGGAGGCAGCAGUGGGGAAUUUUCCGCAAUGGGCGAAAGCCUGACGGAGCAAGACCGCGUGAGGGAAGAAGGCUCUUGGGUCGUAAACCUCUUUUGUUAGGGAAGAACACAAUGACGGUACCUAACGAAUCAGCCUCGGCUAACUCCGUGCCAGCAGCCGCGGUAAUACGGAGGAGGCAAGCGUUAUCCGGAAUUAUUGGGCGUAAAGCGUCCGCAGGUGGCGAUUCAAGUCUGCGGUCAAAGACUGGGGCUUAACCCUGGAAAGGCCGUGGAAACUGAAAAGCUAGAGUGCAGUAGGGGUAGAGGGAAUUCCCGGUGUAGCGGUGAAAUGCGUAGAGCUCGGGAAGAACAUCGGUGGCGAAAGCGCUCUGCUGGACUGCAACUGACACUCAGGGACGAAAGCUAGGGGAGCGAAUGGGAUUAGAUACCCCAGUAGUCCUAGCCGUAAACGAUGGAUACUAGGUGUGGCUUGUAUCGACCCGAGCCGUGCCGUAGCUAACGCGUUAAGUAUCCCGCCUGGGGAGUACGCACGCAAGUGUGAAACUCAAAGGAAUUGACGGGGGCCCGCACAAGCGGUGGAGUAUGUGGUUUAAUUCGAUGCAACGCGAAGAACCUUACCAGGGCUUGACAUGUCGCGAAUCUUGGGGAAACCUAAGAGUGCCUUCGGGAGCGCGAACACAGGUGGUGCAUGGCUGUCGUCAGCUCGUGUCGUGAGAUGUUGGGUUAAGUCCCGCAACGAGCGCAACCCUCGUCUUUAGUUGCCAGCAUUAAGUUGGGCACUCUAGAGAGACUGCCGGUGACAAACCGGAGGAAGGUGGGGAUGACGUCAAGUCAGCAUGCCCCUUACGUCCUGGGCUACACACGUACUACAAUGCGUACGGACAAAGGGCAGCAAGCCAGCGAUGGCAAGCCAAUCCCAUAAACCGUGGCUCAGUUCAGAUCGCAGGCUGCAACUCGCCUGCGUGAAGGAGGAAUCGCUAGUAAUUGCAGGUCAGCAGUACUGCAGUGAAUUCGUUCCCGGGCCUUGUACACAGCCGCCCGUCACACCAUGGAAGUUGGCCACGCCCGAAGUCGUUACCCUAACCGCUUGCGGAGGGGGACGCCGAAGGCAGGGCUGAUGACUGGGGUG
rnacentral:rRNA from 1 species